GAUGAACGCUGGCGGCGUGCCUAAUACAUGCAAGUCGAGCGAACGGACGAGAAGCUUGCUUCUCUGAUGUUAGCGGCGGACGGGUGAGUAACACGUGGAUAACCUACCUAUAAGACUGGGAUAACUUCGGGAAACCGGAGCUAAUACCGGAUAAUAUUUUGAACCGCAUGGUUCAAAAGUGAAAGACGGCCUUGCUGUCACUUAUAGAUGGAUCCGCGCUGCAUUAGCUAGUUGGUAAGGUAACGGCUUACCAAGGCAACGAUGCAUAGCCGACCUGAGAGAGUGAUCGGCCACACUGGAACUGAGACACGGUCCAGACUCCUACGGGAGGCAGCAGUAGGGAAUCUUCCGCAAUGGGCGAAAGCCUGACGGAGCAACGCCGCGUGAGUGAUGAAGGUCUUCGGAUCGUAAAACUCUGUUAUUAGGGAAGAACAUAUGUGUAAGUAACUGUGCACAUCUUGACGGUACCUAAUCAGAAAGCCACGGCUAACUACGUG
rnacentral:rRNA from 1 species